rnacentral:rRNA from 1 species
AGUGAACGCUGGCGGUAGGCCUAACACAUGCAAGUCGAACGGCAGCACAGCAAGAGCUUGCUCUUACGGGUGGCGAGUGGCGGACGGGUGAGGAAUACAUCGGAAUCUACUUUUUCGUGGGGGAUCACGUAGGGAAACUUACGCUAAUACCGCAUACGACCUACGGGUGAAAGCAGGGGAUCUUCGGACCUUGCGCGAUUGAAUGAGCCGAUGUCGGAUUAGCUAGUUGGCGGGGUAAAGGCCCACCAAGGCGACGAUCCGUAGCUGGUCUGAGAGGAUGAUCAGCCACACUGGAACUGAGACACGGUCCAGACUCCUACGGGAGGCAGCAGUGGGGAAUAUUGGACAAUGGGCGCAAGCCUGAUCCAGCCAUACCGCGUGGGUGAAGAAGGCCUUCGGGUUGUAAAGCCCUUUUGUUGGGAAAGAAAAGCAGCAGGUUAAUACCCCGCUGUUCUGACGGUACCCAAAGAAUAAGCACCGGCUAACUUCGUG